UUGAACGCUGGCGGCAUGCCCUUACACAUGCAAGUCGAACGGCAGCACGGGGGGCAACCCUGGUGGCGAGUGGCGAACGGGUGAGUAAUAUAUCGGAACGUGCCCUGGAGUGGGGGAUAACGUAGCGAAAGUUACGCUAAUACCGCAUACGAUCUACGGAUGAAAGUGGGGGAUCGCAAGACCUCAUGCUCGUGGAGCGGCCGAUAUCUGAUUAGCUAGUUGGUGAGGUAAAAGCUCACCAAGGCGACGAUCAGUAGCUGGUCUGAGAGGACGACCAGCCACACUGGGACUGAGACACGGCCCAGACUCCUACGGGAGGCAGCAGUGGGGAAUUUUGGACAAUGAGGGCAACCCUGAUCCAGCAAUGCCGCGUGAGUGAAGAAGGCCUUCGGGUUGUAAAGCUCUUUUGUCAGGGAAAGAAACGGUUUUAGUCUAAUACACUGAACUAAUGACGGUACCUGAAGAAUAAGCACCGGCUAACUACGUGCCAGCAGCCGCGGUAAUACGUAGGGUGCAAGCGUUAAUCGGAAUUACUGGGCGUAAAGCGUGCGCAGGCGGUUGUGCAAGACAGAUGUGAAAUCCCCGGGCCUUAACCUGGGAAUUGCAUUUGUGACUGCACGGCUAGAGUGUGUCAGAGGGGGGUAGAAUUCCACGUGUAGCAGUGAAAUGCGUAGAUAUGUGGAGGAAUACCGAUGGCGAAGGCAGCCCCCUGGGAUAACACUGACGCUCAUGCACGAAAAGCGUGGGGGAGCAAACAGGAUUAGAUACCCUGGUAGUCCACGCCCUAAACGAUGUCUACUAGUUGUCGGGUCUUAAUUGACUUGGUAACGCAGCUAACGCGUGAAGUAGACCGCCUGGGGAGUACGGUCGCAAGAUUAAAACUCAAAGGAAUUGACGGGGACCCGCACAAGCGGUGGAUGAUGUGGAUUAAUUCGAUGCAACGCGAAAAAACCUUACCUACCCUUGACAUGUACGGAAUUCUGCUGAGAGGUGGAAGUGCUCGAAAGAGAGCCGUAACACAGGUGCUGCAUGGCUGUCGUCAGCUCGUGUCGUGAGAUGUUGGGUUAAGUCCCCGCAACGAGCGCAACCCUUGUCAUUAGUUGCUACGAAAGGGCACUCUAAUGAGACUGCCGGUGACAAACCGGAGGAAGGUGGGGAUGACGUCCAAGUCCUCAUGGCCCUUAUGGGUAGGGCUUCACACGUCAUACAAUGGUACAUACAGAGGGCCGCCAAACCCGCGAGGGGGAGCUAAUCCCAGAAAGUGUAUCGUAGUCCGGAUUGUAGUCUGCAACUCGACUACAUGAAGUUGGAAUCGCUAGUAAUCGCGGAUCAGCAUGUCGCGGUGAAUACGUUCCCGGGGUCUUGUACACACCGCCCGUCACACCAUAGGAGCGGGUUUUUACCAGAAGUAGGUAGCUUAUAACCGCAAGGAGGGCGCUUACCCACGGUAGGAUUCGUGACUGGGGUG
rnacentral:rRNA from 1 species